UUGUACCUCAGCCUCCCAAGUCACUGAGAUUGCAGGCCAAGAAAAUGAAAGCUCAUCUGGAUUAUAUUUAUGCUUAAUUGCACAUAGUUUAUAAGUGAAUGGAAAACCACUUAUACACAUACUCAGUUACCCCUGGACUAAAGUGUUCUUUAGAGCAGCCAGGAGUGUACCUACUGUCUCUGCACUUGAAGCUCAUGAAAUAUGUUGGCAGACACUUGCUGCUGUGUGGAAAUGGUGAGGCUCAGGAGCCAGUAUGGAUGAGCACAGGACAGGUGGGCAACAUGUGGAAUGGUAAGGUUAUUUUCCUAACUGGUAUUGUGGAAAAUACCACUCUCUGUUUAAAAAAUCAAAUUUCUGUGUCUAAUCAAUCUGUCAAUCCUUAUAAUUAAUAUCAUCAGGUCUUAGGAGGUUUUUAAGUCAUUUUGCUGUCACCAGUGAGUGUCACUGACUCAUUUGUAAUGAUUCCUGGGAAUUUCGGUAAAGAGAAUUUUCUUAAAUAAAAAAGUGCUUGCUCUAAAUGCUUUCAUCUUACUCUA